ensembl:lncRNA
AAAAUCAGUAAAAAAAAACAACUUCAGGGAAACAAAGAACUUUCUCUAGUAAAUGUGCCAUUGGUUGAAAUCACAAAGAGGAAGUUCGAUGGCUAAGGGACUUAAAAACUGUUUCACCACCUCCACCAGUCAGUUGUCUUUGUUGUGUUCGACUUGAGUAGAUUGCUGUAUCCUCUGCUAGCGUGACCUGAGCUCCAGGGUUGGUAGAGUAAAGGCAGAUGAUGAUGCUCUACCUGGCUCUCCUUCUGGGCGUUCUGCCUUGUGCAGCCCAAGACGAUGGCAAAUACAGUGAGCCGGGGGCCAUGACAAUGGGUUCAGAGGCCAGUGAGUCAGACCCCGGUGCUUUUGUGAGCUCCCCAGCCGAGGCUCCGACUGGUCCUUGCUGUGGCGGUGAGGAGCUGGGUCGCGCCCUGAGCCAGCUGGUCCAGGAGCAGCAGUCCGCCUCAAGCUGGCGGGGAGAGGUGCUGUCAGGGCUCACCCAGCUGGUCCAGGAGCACAAGGAGGUGGCCAGCGGGCAGGCCGAGCUGGUCAAGCUGCUGCGAGACAUCCGGGACCAAGGUGGACAACACCUGACCCAUCUGCAGAACCUGGCCCGCCAUCAGAGCCUUCUGGUGGAGAACCACCAGGCCCUCCUCCUGCAAGCCUCUCGGAUAGGCAACCAGCUACAGGACCUGGCCAAGACCAUCAACAAGCAAUAAGACGUCUAAUCUUUUUGGCUGUGAAGACAUACAUACGUGGAACAUGGAUCAGCAACUUUUGAUGCAUUUGGUUAUGCUUACAGGAUCAUGGUGAUCCUGUCACUUGUGCACAAAGAAAUAAUCAGCACAAUUAAAUCGCUUUGAUGAAAUGUUUGCCAGCAUUACAAAGAAUCAGCCAUAUAUAAAAAUAAAAUUGCUGUGAAUCAGUUAAAAGAUGUUUUAUUUGUACACUGAUUUUCUUCUGCAAAUAAAUGCUUAAUCACUGUAUGAUUAUUAGAAAAUGUUGACAUGAAAUAUAGCAAUAAAUAAUCGAACAUC